rnacentral:tRNA from 1 species
GGGUCUGAGGUGUUAUUGGCAGCAUGUCUGGCUCUUAACCAGAUCGGAGAGGGUUCGAAUCCCUCCGGACCCAC